UACAGAGGUCCCAAGCGUUGUUCGGAUUCACUGGGCGUAAAGGGUGCGUAGGCGGUCGGGUAAGUCUGACGUGAAAUCUCCAAGCUCAACUUGGAAAUGGCGUCGGAUACUAUUCGGCUUGAGGAAUGGAGGGGAGACUGGAAUUCUCGGUGUAGCAGUGAAAUGCGUAGAUAUCGAGAGGAACACCAGUGGCGAAGGCGAGUCUCUGGACAUUUCCUGACACUGAGGCACGAAAGCUAGGGGAGCAAACAGG
rnacentral:rRNA from 1 species